rnacentral:lncRNA from 1 species
CUCUGUGUCCUGCAGUGCCCAGGCCUUGGUGCCUUUUUACCUGCCAGCUCCCUUUGCCCCCUGACAUGCUGCCAGGUGGUUGCUUAGCAACCUCUCCAGCCAGCUUGAGCAUCCUGGCAUAAAUUGCUGUUAGGCACCGGGAGAGAGUUUUUUUUCCCUCCUCUCUCUCUUGUGUUUUAAGCAAAGAGACAUCCUAAAAUAGGGCAUUUUUUUUUUCCUGUUCCUUUUUUGUGUGUGUGUGUGACAGACAACUCCUGUGUAAAUGUUGAAAUCUGUGUUGUCUGUCAGGAGCAGUCAAUCUGAAAACUUUGCUGAAGAGAAUGUAUAUUUAGUAACGGGUGACAAAGAGAGGAAGACAUUGAGAUGUCAAUUAUUCUGUCUUCCACACUGUGUCUGGCGCCAUAAAAACUUUGCAGAGGGAUGCGUGAAUGGAGAGAUGGAUGGAUGGAUGUCGGGAAGUGACCUGAGAUCAUCCUGUCCCACCGGAUGUGCCCAAGGGGAUGCCGCUUGGCAGAGCUGGCCUGAGAAACCGCAGUGCUGGGCUUCAGGUCCUGUGGCUUUGCUGGAGGAAGUCAUUGAGAGGACAUGACAGCCGGUUGACCUUCAACCUGAACCAAGGCAACUGGGGGCCCCUGGCCCCCUCCCCUUGGAAUGUCUUUGAAUUGUCUGCUCUGCCCACCCGUUCCACAGUGGCGGCUGGUUUUGAGGAUGCAGCCUUGAGAGAGCAUGAUGUAUGCGACUGAACCCGUUCAGGCCUCUCUGUCAACUUUUGGAGACUGUGCUGGGUGGAAGCAGAGAUCCACCCAUCUUGAAGCAGGAGACAAGCCCCUCUGGGAGCUCUCUACUUACACGGCCUGUCAUCUACCCGUCCGGAGUGGCUGCCUCUUUCUUCCUUCUUUCCCUGCCCUCCAGGCACGAGGGCCAGUUUGAGAACCAACAGGCUUUGCCACUGAAGCUCAGCCUGACAUCUUUUAGCAAAAGACGGAACACAGCAAGUUUGUAUACAAUGCCAUCUCUGAAUAUGGCAAAUACCAACAGAAAGGGAGAAAAACUACAGUGCCUCGGGGGACCUGAAACUCCGCAGUCCCUGCGCUUGAAACGCAUAAUGAUUUUCAGCAGUGAUUCCACGCAUCCUGGUGGGUAAGCGCUGGUUCUCUUUCCUCUGUAUCAGGUUUUGCCAAUGACCAUGUUGGAGCCAGGGACCAGGGGCCAGCCAGGCAGGAGCCGGUGAUAAUGGGGUUGUGUUUAUUGGUUUACCCUCCAGAUAUAUCAUCUGUGCCACUUAACUUGAUGCCACAGACAACACUGCAUUAACCAACUGUUGGGCAAAUUGCUGGUCAUUCGGUUUGUUGGAAAAGAGCACUGUGCCAGGAGCCCUAACACCUGCCCUCUAGAAUUUGCUCUGCCAUUAAAUGACUCUGGGAAAGUCAUUCACUUUUAGGGUCUCUUCCUCUGGAAGCCAAGGGAGCUGGUAGCCAAGUGUUUCAUCCUCUAUGUUUCAUGGACCUGCUGGGAUUGGGAAACAUAUUUUUGGAGUUGUUGGGUGUUCUGUGAGAAUUUUCAAAUUCUGUGUUUUUAUUUAGAUGAAGGUUGAUGAAAAGCUGAAAGUGAUUCCUCAGCCGUGUAUAUGAAUAAUUCAGAGCCAAUAUCUUCUUAUAAUUUGCCCAGCAUUUGCUUUUGUAUUAACUAUCUCAAGUGAAAGCCUUCGGUAUCAAAGUUUGGCUUCCCUUGUCCCAUUUUUCUUAGCAGUGCGUUUCAGAUUUCAGGUUUGAUAAUCACUGGACUGGAUACACAUCGCUUGCUAAGAUUUGGUGAUUUAUUUUUUUGAAAUAACUGGGAGAGGUUGGUUCCACUUAUUCCCUUAUAUUUAAUUCACUCGUAUGUUUGUCACAUGUUGUCUUGUGUGCCCAUGGUGAACCAGAGACACUACUCUUCCAGCCACUGAGGUUAGUCUCCAUGUGUUUCUGGAAUGUCACAGCUGGCCGGGGAUGCACCCAAGGAGUUCCUAGACGUGGGACUAUAAAUUGAAACUGUCUUUAGGCAACCAUACAGUAAAUCCGUCUGGAUAGUUAGUGUCACAUAAACUCUGACCCACGGAUUCGGAAGCAGCGGAGAUCCGUCUGGGUCUGGGUGAUGGAAGGAUU